ensembl:misc_RNA 7SK 7SK RNA
GGAUAUGAGGGCGAUCUGGCUGCGACAUCUGUCACCCCAUUGAUUGCCAGGGUUGAUUCGACUGAUCUGGCUGGCUAGGCAGAUGUCCCCUUCCUCCCUCACCGCUCCAUGUGCAUCCCUCCCAAAGCUGUGUGCUCAGUCAAAGAGAAUGGCCUUCCCCGAAUAGAGACGGACUGGUCUUCGGUCAAGUGUAUACAAGUAGCUGCGCUCCCCUGCUAGAACCUCCAAACAAGCUCUAAAACAGGAUGGGAGUCAUUGGAGCCAAAGCUCCAGGACACAGCCAGUUUGAUUGAUACCUGAUAUAAAUGUGGGGGUACUGAAU